rnacentral:lncRNA from 1 species
AUGCCGUGGGACUCCCCGCUCUCGAGCGGGGGGCCGCCGUCCAGGCUGAGGGCGCUGCCGCUGCGGCUGGCCGGCCGGCCCACCGGGCCCUCCAGCGCCAGGCUGCUGCGGCGGGAGAAGCUGCCGCCGCCGCCGAAGCGUUCGGCGAUGACGCUGGCCUGGUCCAGCACCGAAGGUGGCAGGAUGCUGUCGGCAGCUCCUUCUUCUUCCUCCUCCUCCUCCUCCUCCUCGCUGCUCAGCCCCUGCAAAUCCUCUGCAGCACGCUCCGGCUCCCCCUCCCCGCCGGGCAGCGCCGGUACCGGGGUCCCUGCCGAGGACGGGGCUUCGGGUGCCCCCAGCCCCUCAGGGUGCUCCCCGGAGCUGCCGGCCUGUGGAGGAGCGGGCGGGUGGGUGCUGGGUCCUUCGGGACCCCCAGGCGGGGGCUGCGGGGCUGCACUGACCUUCUCGCAGCUCCCCGGCCCCCAGCUGCUCGGCCGCUUGGGUCCCUCUGGCGCCGGUGGGUGCCCCUCAGCCUGGGAGGGAGAAAAUAUGGGGUGUCACGGGCUGUGGGGGGACCACCCCAGCUGCUCUGAGCCGGACUGCUGCCGGCGGCGAGUCCCGGCCAAGCCACAGCUGAGGAUUGCGCAGCGGCCCCGGGAGCAACAAGGGGUGCCCCAAGACAUGGGGGGUACCCCAGGAGUGAUGCAGGGUGCUCUGGGGGUGAUGCCGGGCACCCCAGAAGUGAUGCGGGGUACCCUGGGAACAAUAUGGGGUGCCCCAGGAGUGACGUGGGAUCCCUUGGGUAGCAUGACGCAGCGGGCGCCCUCCCUGGGGUUUGGAGGGCUGGGGUGGGUACCUGCUCCUCCUGGGCUUCCACCGGCAGGUCCCUGGCCCCCGGCAGCUCCUCCUGGUAGUCCUUGCCCAAAGCCUCCUCCACCUCUUCCUCUUCUUCCUCCUCCUCCUCUUCCUCCUCCACCGCUCCCUCAGCAGCCGCCCAGGAUCUGGGGGGCUGGGGGGGGUCCCCUGCCUCCAGGAGAGCCCCGUCGCUUCCAGCGUGCUGCGCAGGGGCGAGCGCUGGGCUCAGCACCCCAUGCCCUCACGGCAAGCAGCGUGCCAGGGCAGGGGGGCACCAGGCACCCUAACCCACCCUGUGUCCCGGCCUUACCUUGA